GUGUCAGCAGCCGCGGUAAUACGUAGGGGGCAAGCGUUGUCCGGAUUUAUUGGGCGUAAAGAGCUCGUAGGCGGUUCGACAAGUCGAAUGUGAAAUCUCCACGCUCAACGUGGAGGGGUCAUUCGAAACUGUCGUGACUUGAGUACGGUAGGGGAGUGUGGAAUUCCCGGUGUAGCGGUGAAAUGCGCAGAGAUCGGGAGGAACACCCGUAGCGAAGGCGGCACUCUGGGCCGAUACUGACGCUGAGGAGCGAAAGCGUGGGGAGCAAACAGGAUUAGAAACCCCCGUAGUCC
rnacentral:rRNA from 1 species